rnacentral:RNase_P_RNA from 1 species
CUUGCAGGCCGGGUGACCGCGAGCCGUUCGCGGCUCGAGGAAAGUCCGGACACCGAAGGGCAGGACGCUGGGGAAAACCCAGGCGGCGAAAGCCGACGGAAAGUGGCACAGAAAGGAGACCGCCAGCGGCGAAAGACUCUCCGGAGACGCCGAAGGCAAGGGUGAAACGGUGGGGUAAGAGCCCACCAGCGCCGUGGUGACACGGCGGCUAGCCAAACCCCGUCCGGUGCAAGGUGAAACAGGCUCCGCCGACGCGGCCCGCCGAGGAGCCGGGUACACCGCUCGAGCCACCGGGGAACCGAUGGCCUAGAGAGAUGGUCACCCUCGACAGAAUCCGGCUUACAGGCCUGCUA